UACGUAGGGUGCAAGCGUUGUCCGGAAUUAUUGGGCGUAAAGGGCUCGUAGGCGGUCCGUCACGUCGGGAGUGAAAUUCUGGGGCUUAACCCCAGAACUGCUUCCGAUACGGGCAGACUAGAGGUAGGGUAGGGGAGAAUGGAAUUCCUGGUGUAGCGGUGGAAUGCGCAGAUAUCAGGAGGAACACCGGUGGCGAAGGCGGGUCUCUGGGCCGUAACUGACGCUGAGGAGCGAAAGCAUGGGGAGCGAACAGG
rnacentral:rRNA from 1 species